AUUGAACGCUGGCGGCAGGCUUAACACAUACAAGUCGAGCGGAGAUGAGGUGCUUGCACCUUAUCUUAGCGGCGGACGGGUGAGUAAUGCUUAGGAAUCUGCCUAUUAGUGGGGGACAACAUUCCGAAAGGAAUGCUAAUACCGCAUACGCCCUACGGGGGAAAGCAGGGGAUCUUCGGACCUUGCGCUAAUAGAUGAGCCUAAGUCGGAUUAGCUAGUUGGUGGGGUAAAGGACUACCAAGGCGACGAUCUGUAGCGGGUCUGAGAGGAUGAUCCGCCACACUGGGACUGUGACACGGACCAGACUCCUACGGGAGGCAGCAGUGGGGAAUAUUGGACAAUGGGCGGAAGCCUGAUCCAGCCAUGCCGCGUGUGUGAAGAAGGCCUUUUGGUUGUAAAGCACUUUAAGCGAGGAGGAGGCUACCUGGAUUAAUACUCUAGGAUAGUGGACGUUACUCGCAGAAUAAGCACCGGCUAACUCUGUGCCAGCCGCCGCAGUAAAAC
rnacentral:rRNA from 1 species